rnacentral:rRNA from 1 species
UACAGAGGUCCCGAGCGUUGUUCGGAUUCAUUGGGCGUAAAGGGUGCGUAGGUGGCGCCGUAAGUGGGGUGUGAAAUCCCGGGGCUUAACCCCGGGACUGCAUUCCAUACUGCGGUGCUUGAGGACUGGAGAGGGAACUGGAAUUUACGGUGUAGCAGUGAAAUGCGUAGAUAUCGUAAGGAAGACCAGUGGCGAAGGCGAGUUCCUGGACAGUUACUGACACUGAGGCACGAAGGCCAGGGGAGCAAACGGG